rnacentral:rRNA from 1 species
UCAAAGCUCCGGCGGUGCAGGAUGGACCCGCGUCUGAUUAGCUAGUUGGUGAGGUAACGGCUCACCAAGGCGACGAUCAGUAGCCGACCUGAGAGGGUGAUCGGCCACAUUGGAACUGAGACACGGUCCAAACUCCUACGGGAGGCAGCAGUGGGGAAUAUUGCACAAUGGGCGAAAGCCUGAUGCAGCAACGCCGCGUGAGCGAUGAAGGCCUUCGGGUCGUAAAGCUCUGUCCUCAAGGAAGAUAAUGACGGUACUUGAGGAGGAAGCCCCGGCUAACUACGUGCCAGCAGCCGCGGUAAUACGUAGGGGGCUAGCGUUAUCCGGAUUUACUGGGCGUAAAGGGUGCGUAGGCGGUCUUUUAAGUCAGGAGUGAAAGGCUACGGCUCAACCGUAGUAAGCUCUUGAAACUGGAGGACUUGAGUGCAGGAGAGGAGAGUGGAAUUCCUAGUGUAGCGGUGAAAUGCGUAGAUAUUAGGAGGAACACCAGUAGCGAAGGCGGCUCUCUGGACUGUAACUGACGCUGAGGCACGAAAGCGUGGGGAGCAAACAGGAUUAGAUACCCUGGUAGUCCACGCCGUAAACGAUGAGUACUAGCUGUCGGAGGUUACCCCCCUCGGUGGC